GGAAAAAAGUUGUCAACUAUAGGGCCACAAAUAGGGAUGGCAUCAUCUUAGACAGACCCUGAGUUUAGUACAGCAGCCUCGCCAGAAGAGAAAAGAAACCCUAGUUGACCCGAUCCCCUCCGCGCCUUUGGGCAGGCCGCCGCCAGCUCUCCUCAUCGCCCUUGCGGCCGCCGGCGACAACCACUCCCCGCCGCGUCCUUGCCUCCUCCGUCCAGGGGUAUGUCCUUUUUGUGUUUUGGGCAGGCACGGGAUUCCUCGUGUAAUCGUGGGCCGAUUUCGGUUGGGGGUUCAGAUCCCAAGCGGACUCGACUCGAAAAGGAGCUCUUUUUAUUCAAAUCCUCGACCUGAGGGAGAUGCUCUAAUCAGGAUUGGAACCGAAAAUCCGUCCGUAAAUCCAUAGAAUAAAAAAAGGCAGCCUCAGAGGAGCAACCAGGCCUUGCGCAAUCGAAAGAGAAGAAAAGGAGCCGUUUAUUUUUAUAUUUAUUAAUAGCAAAGUUUGUGUCACGAGAUAUAGUCAGUAAUCAUUAGGAUGUGAUUCUCCUAUUCUUGUGCUGCCCUUGUUAGCGGACUAGCCGCAGGAGGUUUCGACUUCUUUGAUCCAUCUAAUGAGGCUAUCCCUGGCCAAUGAGGGACUUUGCGGGAGAUGGAAAACAAUAAUAAAGCCAAAGCUCGCUGCCACGAAGCAGCUUCGGAUGAAGCUGAAGUUGAUAGGCUUAGCAAGCUGCCAGAUCACGUUCUACUCAACAUCCUGGAGAGGGUUCGCACGAUAGAUGCCUUGAGAACCUGCAUCCUCUCUAAGAGAAUGCUCAAGCUUCCCCCCAUGCUCUCGCUGCUUGAUAUAGACAUUGGUUCCCUUGCGCGUUACAUCAAGCCCAAGGUCGACACCACUAAUCGUAUUUUUCAGUACAACACUGCUGUGGCUGCUAUCAUUGAGAAGGUCCUGAGUGUGAGGAAUCCUGAGAUCCCCAUCCGCAAACUGAGGGUCAGGUUCUGUUUGAGGCCUGAUGAAUGUCUCUCCAUCAGCCAAGUCGUCGCCCAUGCCAUGGCAACCCAAAAGCUCGAUGUUGCUGAGUUUGUGGUCCUCACGGAGACGAUUUGUUUGAAAUGCACUGAAGACCAUCUCCUCUGUUAUGCCCCAAGCGCUUCAAUAGUUGGCUUGGUGAUUGUCCUGCCAUGUUUGCUGGUCUCACGCGCCUGUGGCUGCGCAAUAUGAGGUUUGGUGAACUGGACAUCCCCAACAUCCUCAGCGCCUGUAAGAGGUUGGAAUCACUGCGUCUCUCCUAUUGUGACGCAGGGGUCCAAUCUGUGCUUCAAGUAGAACAUGCUCAACUUGUUGAGCUCCACAUCGACUAUGGGGAAUUUGAAGCAGUCCAACUCAGCUGUCUACCAAAACUCCAACGUGUCAAAUAUGUUGGUUGGUCUUACCAAGAAGAUCCCCUGAUUUUUGUUUCUGUCCCGCAGCUUUCAAAGCUAACACUCGAAAAAGAUGGUGUUAGCUCAACUAGUAAUCUCCAGUUAAGUCAGCUCCUUGCUAAUGUACCCUGGAUAAGCGACCUCCAUCUGGAUUUUAGAAGUGAAAAGGUACUCAGUAGCCGCCACCUAUAUUUGGGUUCUACCUGAAUGCCCCAGACUGCUUGUGCAUGUGCUUGGCAAGCUACAGAUUGUGAAUCUGGACAAUCUUCCGCAAGGAUGUGAUAUCGCUUGGACCAUGUUCAUUCUUGAAGCGGCAAGCUCCCUAAAGGAGCUAUGCGUCACGGUGUGGGAUCAUUUGUGCAAAAUGGAGACAGACGAGGAUGUCCGUAAGGAACUUGGUUACUGUGAGAAAGCAAAUGUGGAGUACCAACCAUCUAUAGUUCAUUUUAAGCACAAGAAUCUGAUUAAGCUCACCGUUUACGGCUUCCAACCUGAGGACAACUUUGUGCGAUACGUUAGGCGUGUCAUGGAGAUUGCAGUGAACCUGAAGGAGAUAUCUCUGUAUGACUGGCAGGUCUGUAAGCGCUGCAGGGACUUGGAUCCCAGUAUCAAGGUCUGUCCUUCUCGGUAUCCACGGACCAGUGAGCAGAAGGAUAUGUUGAGGGUGGAGAUUACUAAGGAGUUGGUCAUGGCUUCGCCUGCUGUGAUUCACUUCAGGUCCUAAUUAAUAAUUGAAAAAUAAGAUGCAUGGCGUCAUCAGUAAAAUCUAGAGUCCAUCUGUCCAUGUAAAUCAUUCAUGGCAUAUGUACUCUUAUUUAUCGUCUAUGUAGUUUCAAGGAGCUUCGGUGCUCUCUCCAUAAUUCAGUAGUCACUGCAUUUGUAUUCUUAUUUAUUUAUCCCUCAACCGAAGCUUGUACUGAUGCCUUAGGGCAAAAAUAGUUAUUAAUAAAUGUUUUGAAUAUCAUGAUAAUUAUCUAUGCCACCUCUUACAAGUUUGAUAGGUUUUUGGAGAAAUUUAUCUUACAAGUUGUAAAGCAACUGACGCACUUGUGUUUUCUGCUUGGUCUAUGUUAUACGCAUUAUGGGUACGGUGUUCAAAUGUGUUAGCCUGAUGCAUACUAAGUCCUUACUUGUGGUUGACCCAGCCAGACCUCAGGUCUCCAAUCUUCAGAUUUAUUAUCAGCCUGACAUAUGCAGUAUAUAUAUUUACAAUGGUCAAAUGGUAGAAAGGUUGGCUUAAUGUUUUUUUUCUGUAAUAAAGUAUAAACUUUCUUGCUCUCAACUAAGUUCUGUCUAUUUUGAAAGUGGUAAAGAUUAAAUUUAGGUCUGCAUAAGCAAACUCUUUUUGACUCAGUAAUGUUAAAUGCAUGCAUGGAAAUUGUUUUUUUAAGGGUGCAUCUCCUAUUGUUGUGCUCAUAUAUAUUGAACUAUUGAUAUGUUUAUCGCUUAUUUUCCUAUGUUAGCAUGAAUAUGUUUUUCUCCGGGUCUUAGGUAGAAAAUAGGAAUGCUGUGUGUGCCUCAUUGUUGUCAUCUUGGCUCUUCCUAUUUUCGAGGAUUAUGCUGUACUAUCAGUCAUGUUCCUUUCAGUAAAUUACACUUUGGAUCACGUAUUUCGACCCGAGUUGCAAUUCUGCCACAUUAGAUAAAAUAGAUAUUACAGAUAGCUUGGCGCCCUGAAUUUAGAGUCAGGAAGUUCCAUCCCUUUUCUUUUUCCAGGAUGGGUUCCAUGAAGCUGGCCUAGAAGCUGGAUGCUUUCUGGAGGCUGGGCCAAGCAUGGUAUGCUCUUCAUUUCAUUUCCUUCUUGUGCCCUUUAGUCUUGAGAUUCCUAUCAUGUAUGUAUGUGUGGAAACUGGAAGCUUGGCUGACAUUAAAGAAUUGAUUGAUUGUGCUUGUCCUGUUCCUGCUGUUAGCUUACUAGUAGUCUGGAAUAUGAAAAAAGGGGAAGGUGAUCUUUUUAUUUAUAUGAAUACCAAAAUUGAAUUGCUAGAGCUAGAUGCUAUAUAUGGUAGUCAGAAACAAUCAUAGUGUGAUUGUUCAUCAACACCGCUUCAGAUGCAUGUACCAAAAUAGCAGAGAUGGGUCAAGGAUGAGGGUCUAGUUAUUAGUUGUGGCAGUCCCUUCUGAGAAUCACUUGCUUGGAAAAUAUUUUCUCACAUGCAUGUACCAAAAUGUAAUAUUGACAAAUGUACGUGCAAGCAAGUGUACAUAUGUUGAGGGAAAUUAGCUAGCUCAUAAAUGGUUCCUGGAGAAAAUGUGAAAUGUCUGAAGUUACCAACCAACAGCAGCAGCCGGCAAAUAUGAGAUUUGGUCUAAGGUUUCUACUAGUGUCGAUUGUGCGAGGCUAUCCCAGGCCCAAGUUGAGCCAGUCGCGGCUCCCUGCGAGGGAUCAUCACCGGCAGCUCACCUCCUCUUCAGCUAUAGCAGCGUAGUCGUGGUGGAGGCCGCCGCAGAUCCUGAUGGCGCGAUGGGCGCGGGAGGGUGAGGAAAUGCUGGACCAGCAGCUCCAGGCAACCUACAUGGCCUACCAGUUGCUAACCUCUACUCCCUAGCAGCCAACUCCUCUGUACAAGUGACCUUGACUAGCGCCCUCUUCAAGCUGCUUGCCGUUGGCCACUCGGCAUCUGCCCUCCUAUGUCACAGAUCUCUGAAGUUUGGUCAUUGACUAUUCUGAAGGAGAAUGCUGGUGUUGAGGUUGAGGUUCACCGUCUUGGAUGUCACCGCCAUUUUGGUCCCGCUUGCCGUUGACAACACCAGGUUCAGCACCAAGGAUCUAGCUUUGCUCACACCACCAUUAUCUUCUCCGCCCUGUGUGUGGUUCUUCGAGCUCUGAGCAGUCCGAUGGCAGAGCUGGUGGCCACCAGUGGUUGGACCGCUGCUGUCCAUUGUGAAGCAGAAGGUAUCCAGCUACCUGCUGGAGAAGUACAAGGUGAUGGAGGAGCGAGCGGCACAGGGUGCUCAAGCGCAAGCUGCGCACCUUCCUGGACGUCAUCGCUGAUGCCGAGCAGGCUGCACCUACAAGGCAAACGAGGUCUUCGACAAGUUCAAUUGCAAGGCGCUAGGCCAAGAAGAAUGGGCACUACAGUAAGUUUGGCUUGGAUGCAGUGAAACAUUUUUUUUGCCCCAUGUGUUUUCAAUGAAAUGAUUGGAAUUUGUAACUAUGGGCCAAUUUGCCUGCAGUUGGUAAAGAUCAUAGAAUGGUAAAGCAAAAUCAGGCUCUGGUGGAGCCUAUGCAAACAAUGAUGUUUGUUACUAGAGAGAGAAUCGUCAACUCUAGAUGUUUGGUUACUUGGGUAUAUAAAUGGCAGAAACCAUAAGGGCAUGUACAAUGGUUGAUAAGACAAUUUUAUCUUAAGUCUUACAUGUAAUUUAGAGAUGACAAAAGAGUAUGUUUACAAUUGGUUCUAUCUUAGCUUUAA